ACAUGACUGUGUCAGAAUUUGCUUGCAAGUUUCUAGAGUUGGGCUGAUAUUCCCCUGAGACAUUGUUGGAUGAAAGCAGGAAGGCUAGAAGGUUCGAGUGGAGUCUCCACCCAAAGAUCAGAUAGCAUUUGUUCGUGCUGGAGUUCAGGACUUAUUCGGCCGUUCUGGCCAAGGCACAGUUAGUGGAGAGGAGCUUUCGCACCCUCUCUCAGGCAGCAGCGAACCUUAGACCCUCAACU
rnacentral:lncRNA from 1 species